CUUGCGUGGAGCCCCAGAUCGAGGGAGAUUAUCAGUGGUCUUGUAUGUCUUCCAUUUCCUAAUAAUUGCUCCCACAGUUGAUUUCUUCAAACCAAGCUGCUUACCUAUUGCAGAUUCAGUCUUCCCAGCCUGGUGCAGGUCUAAAUUUUGUUUCUGGUGUCCUUUGACAGCUCUUUGGUCUUGGCCAUAGUGGAGUUUGGAGUGUGACUGUUUGAGGUUGUGGACAGGUGUCUUUUAUACUGAUAACAAGUUCAAACAGGUGCCAUUAAUACAGGUAACGAGUGGAGGACAGAGGAGCCUCUUAAAGAAGAAGUUACAGGUCUGUGAGGGCCAGAAAUCUUGCUGGUUUGUAGGUGACCAAAUACUUAUUUUCCACCAUAAUUUGCAAAUAAAUUCAUAAAGAAUCCUACAAUGUGAUUUUCUGGAUUUUUUUCUCUCAUUUUGUCUGUCAUAGUUGACGUGUACCUUUGAUGAAAAUUACAGGCCUCUCUCAUCUUUUUAAGUGGGAGAACUUGCACAAUUGGUGGCUGACUAAAUACUUUUUUGCCCCACUGUAGUUAAAGCUAUGGAGAGUCUGGAUGUCUUCUCUAUGUUCAGCUUCUCCCACGUGAAGGAGACGGUGAGGAGGCAGAGCUGCAGGUGCUGUGCUCCUAGACCAGGCCAUCCUACCAGGAGUGGGCUACAUCAUUAAGAACAAAACCCUGUUUUACCCCGGUCUUCACCCUUCUAUUAAGGUGGGUAAGGCUGAUACACCAUCAUCAUUUUAGACAAACACAUUAUGAGCAAGCUCAAGUCAUAUUUUGGAUUGCCUCUAGGUUGUUUAGUGCGGUUUAGAAAUGGGCUUUGGAUUAAUUUAUUCAUCACUGUUGUGACUGAGUAGUGUACUGUAGAUUCAGAACAAUGAUGCAUUGUUAUAAUUUUGCUAAAUGGUUCAAAUUUCAUAAUGCUAAUUAAAAUGGAACCAAAUCAAUGGCAUGUGUAUAACUGUCCAAAUUUUGAUUGCCAUCUUUUAGGUCAAGCAGCUCAUGGAAAACAAGGUCCACCAUUUUGUGAAAAUGACAUAAGAUUUCACUCUUCUAUUUUACAAGCAAGCUCCCAUCCAGGAACAGUUUAGUUGGCUGGGCUUACCAAGGAAGCAUGGGGAGCAACGAUCAUGUGGCCAAGAGAGAGAAAGAGGAGUGAACCUGUACACGCUGUACUCUGAUCAACCAGCCAAUGAGGAAGGCCUGUGACGCCUGCCUGACCCCUAGGCCUGAGCUUGAGUACACAACUCCUCUGAUAUGGACCAAUGUGGUUGUGCGCAAAGCAAUUCUAAUCACAUUUAGGGCUGGUGUCAUAGACCCAUGAUUCAGGAAUACAUUGUAUCCAGUUAUGACUAGAGGCGACUUUGUGCAGGUUUCCUUGACCAAGAAAGGUCAGUGUUGUAAAUAAAAUGUUCCUGAAAAAAUAUGAAUAUACAGUAUUUUGAUUUUAAAUAAGUUGUAUGCUAACAAAUGCAUGCAGAAUGGGUUAAGAUCAUUACAUCAGAGAUCAUAAAAAAUACUCCAGUUUAAAUAACAGCUGCUUCUUUUAUUUUAUGAAAGCAAAUUUGAUACUAUUAAUCUGACAAUAAUUAUUUUCUCCACCUCUCAGCCACCCUCAAACCCAAGCUCCAACUGGGGGUACACAGACACCGACACUUCCCAGCAACCCUUGCUGUGUGUCCUAUGGGUUGCCCAAUGUGCUCCGAGUGGUCACCAAGCAGGGUGACAACAAAGGAAAACAGUUCUACACCUGUAAAAAUGACAGGUAAAUUAGCAAGUAAAUAUUGCAACUAUUUAUUUUGGUUUGAAGAAGCAGUUAUAGAGAAGUCCAUUUGAAGGGAAAUGUGUAGUUUGGGGCAGAGAUUAAACUGAGUUUAAAUGUAUUUGGCUAAGUUGUUUGAAAACUUCCGACUUCAACUGUAUAUAUGUGUGUGUGUGUGUGUGUGUGUGUGUGUGUGUGUGUGUGUGUGUGUGUGUGUGUGUGUGUCUGUGUGUGUGUGUGUGUGUGUGUGUGUGUUUCCUGAUCUUUAUUAUGUCUUUCAGAUAUAGGAUAGACACUUCAAAACAAACUUCCUUUUGAUUUUUUGGGGAGAACUCUGUUGUUCCAUGUAGUGAAUCUGUUCAUCAAUGCAUAUUUUUGAUACUUCAAGGGGUGUUAAAAUUCAAAAUUGCAUCGCAAAAUGAUCCUAGGUUUGACGUUCUUAAAACAAUUCCAUACAGCUUAGUAGAACCCUGCUGCAACUUGGCCAUCCUGACCAAUCACGAUCUUCGCUAAUGUCAGGAAAAGUAACACAAUAUUAAAUGUGCAAUUCUUAUCUAAAGAUCGAAGUUGGAUCUGGGAAUAGACAAAUAUCACAAAAUGUUUUCUAUUUCCACAUUUAGUUCUGUAAAGCAAAGAGAAGGCUUCCAAUUUAAUGAAGAUAUUUCUAACUUCGAUCAGCACACUACCUAAGUACAUCAAUCGUUUGGAUACCGAUGCCCAGCUCAAUAGUAAUUUAAGCAGCUGGUUGCACAAUAUGCAUAUGCAUUGUAUUGCCUACAGGGUUUUGGUUGUGCCAAUGGUAACAGCAUCUAUCUAAUACAUCUCCUAAUGCAUUAUUCCUAUUAUUGAAGUCCGUUU
rnacentral:lncRNA from 8 species